AUGAGCUCAAGGACUGCUCAUUGCGCUUUCAUGACUUCAAGUCUGUAGACCACCUGAAGGUCUGACCCAAGCACAUGGCAGGGCUGGCCUGCUCCAAGGAGGGUGGCGCUGGUAUUGAGGACCUGGACACCCUGCAGGUAGAGCUUGAGACUCUGCUGUCUUGUGCAAACAUGCGGCUGCAUAUACUCAAGUUGGGUUGAGACAGUGAGCUUGACUCCCCCCAGAUACGGGAAGCCCAAAACUGGCAGGGAAGACAGGACAUGGGUCAGAGCCUGCCUCAGGAUGACCCAAAUCCACAAACUUUCAGCCCAAGAUCCAAGAACAUGAAUUCACUGAUGACCCAAUUGAGAUGCCUCAGGUCCCCAAGAAUGAUGCUCCCAACAUGCUCUGGACCACGGUGGAGCCCUGUUGUGCUGAUAUCACCAGUGAGGAGGUACGAACGCUAGUGGAGCUCGUAAGGGCCCUGAAGAUAAAGCUGAACAUUGUAAGACUGACACUGGGGACACACUACUCCCAGUGCUGGGCCCAGGAGGCUCUGCUAGAGGAGCAGAAGGAUAGACAGCUGUGGCUGACAAGAAGAAAGGCCUCAUGGGAUCGAACUCAUGAACUGGAUACAAAAGAUGUGGCUAUCCUACUGAGGAAGUGUGAGGUCCAGCAUGAGCAGCCGGAAGAUGGAUGGCCUUUUGGUCCCCUGACACAGCCAACCUGCUGCAGGCCCUGGUGGAAGAAAAUAUUAUUUCCCCUAUGAAGGACUCUGCUGUUCCUGACAUGUCGGGGAAAGAAUCAGGGGCUGAUGGAGCAAGCACGUCUCCCUGAAAACCGAGCAAGCCCUUCAGCAUAACACAUGCCAAGACCCUGGAGAGCUUUAUCAAUGAGUUGCUGAUUGCCCAGGGCCUCCUGGAGUCUGAGGAUCAGCCUCCUUAAGGACGCAUAGGCUGAGGUCCUUGCUGUGCUGUGCAAACAGCAGGCCACGCUGAAGGCAUUCAGGGUACACAACAACAAUACGAAGCAUGAU
rnacentral:lncRNA from 1 species